UUUUAUACAAUGAUUUUGCUGCACAGCAAAGUAAUAGUAACAGGGAAGUAGGUAAUUAUAUGGCAUAUUACAAAAUUUUUAACACUGAAUUCACUUUGACAGAGCUACUAAAUGGAGAUAAAAAAGCAUAUGACAAUGUUCACUGUUUCUUUUGGACUGAAGUAGACGUUAAACGAGGUGCUAACGAAAUUGGCUCUUGCAUUUUUGGGAAUAUUUACAAAAUCUGUGUGCAGAAGAUGAAGAACCGAAACAAAUUAUAUUUUACUCAGACAACUGCUGUGGGCAGAAUAAAAAUAAAUAUAUCGCCACAUUAUAUUUGUAUGCCGUAACUAAUAUUAAAUAUUUUCAGUAUAACACAUAAAUUUAUGAUAAGGGGACAUACACAGAAUGAAGCAGACAGUGUGCACAGCCUAAUAGAAAGAGAGGUAAAGAAAAACUUAAAAGCAGGUCCAAUUUACAGUCCAGACCAGUAUGUUACCCUUAUUAAAAAUGCAAAAAAAGUAAACCUGCAAUAAAUGUUCAUGAAAUGACCUUUGAAUCUUUUAUCAACUUAAAGUCUCUUCAAGAGCAGUGGGGUUACAACUUUACGAGUACUGUAGACAUAGAUGGGAAAACCGUAAAUUGGAAUGAUGUAAAGGUUUUGCAGAUGGUGAAAUCAGAACCAUUUCAUUUUUAUUAUAAGACUUCCUACAGUGAUACUAAUUUUAAACAAGUUGAUAUAAGAAACAAAAGAAAAAAAAUGGACCCAAUAACUGCAAUUACUCUGGAUAAAGCAUAUAGCCAAAGACAACAGUUAAGUAAAAAUAAGAAAAAAGAUCUAAAAGAACUACUAACAAAGAAAUUGAUUCCCUCCUUUUAUGCAAGUUUUUAUAAUUCCAUUGUUUAGUAUUGAUUCUACUUAUUUUAUUUAAGAAUGAUAAAUACUGUUUUUUUAGAAAGUGUAAUAAUAUUACACACAAUUAUGUGUAUUGCCACAAAUUAAGUUCCUUUCUGCCAAAGUAUGCUUUUUUUUUAAUAAGGUUAGAUUGUGGGUGAUACUUUUAACUAAGUAAUUAUUAGCAUUUAACAAAUCAUUUAAUUAUUUUUGUUUUUUGUAUAAAACUAGAAACAAAUAAUAUUUGUAGUCGAAAGGUUAAACUGAAAGAAAGAAUUAUUAUAUGAUAACUGUCAAUUUUUUAUGUAAAGUUUACUUUUUUUAUUACAUUAUUAUUAUGUUAGUACUUAGUUAAAAACUAAGUUUUAAGUUUAAAACUUUUGGAAGUAAAUUAUUAGACUGAUUGUUUUUUAAGCUAAGUUUACUUUGACAUAAUUACUUAAUUAAUGUGUUACAUUUGAAUCUCAGCUUGUGAUAAUGCAUAAUGCAAGACUGACUUGCUCAUAAUUUGAUAAUUAUUUAAUGAUUAUAAAGUAUUUAACUGUGAGCUAUUAUUUUGUUGAAAUAUUGUGUAAAACUUAGGUAGUGAUUAUUUGUUUUUUUUUUAAUUAGAUAUUUUUAACUAUUUCAAUUUAAAAAUUGAAAAUAUUUGUACUAGAUUGCCUAUAAUCUAGGUCCAAAAGGGAAUCAUCAACAUUAAAAUUUGUGUGGUAAUUAAUAAUAAAUAUCUAACAUUAUUUAAUAAAAAUAUAAUAAUUUUUUGUAUUUCUUUUUUUACAAAAUGAUGCAAUAAUACAUAAGCCAAUAUUAUCAUAUUUUGAUUAAUAAUAAAACGAAGUAUUUUGGAAUAUAUUUUAAUAUCUCUUGCUAAUUUAUACAAAAGAGAAUUAUUUAGAACUGUUGCAUGUCUUUUUCGUCUACUAACUAGAUUUUUUUUGCAUAAACUGAUUUAACUCAAAACCUUUUUUUUGCUUCAAUUUUUUUAAGGUAUAAUAGAUAAUUAAGAUAAACGUAAUCAUUUAUAUUAAAAGACCAUAGUUUUGUCAAUUAAAAUCAGUAGUUAAAUUAUCGAAACACUAGUAAGUGGUUACUAGUACUUUUCAAAGACAAGUCGGAAUAAGUUGAAAACUUUAAUCGCUGAUUCCCAUAAGUUGUAGUUUUUGAGUUACAUCUUUUUAUUUUUAAGGGUGCGAUAUGUACGUGCUUGCUAUCAUGGCGCAGUGAGACACAGCUGUCAACACUUGACGCAAAAAAAUCGAGAGCAGUCACCAUUUGCCGUAAAUGGCAGGUUUAAAAGAGAUUUCAAAUUAUUUAGGCAAUCUUAUUUUGUACAGCCUCAGAAAGUUUAAUGAAAUAUUUUAAGGUGACUGCUGCUCUCAAAAAUAGAUUUUAUCCUCCCAUAACGGACAGAAUAGCCAGGGGCUCUACCAUUAAUCAAAUUAAUAUAAAUAUGAAUAGAUAUAGCAUAUUAGGUCAUUUUUUGUUAACAAUGUAUAUAAGGUUGAUUUUGAAUCAAUAACUGUUCAAAAUGAUAAUCUAAAUGAAUUUCCCCAGUUGUUAUAAUGAUUUAUUAAUUCUUGUACUUAGGUAUCAAUUAAAUCAGGCACGGUCUUAUUUAUGUGAACAUUAUGCGGGGAAAUGAAUGAAGAUGAAUAAUUUAAUAAUUAUUGAAGAUAAAUAAUUUAAUAAUUAUUCAUCUUCAAUAAUUAGAAGAAUGUCAUCUAAGAAUUGUGCAGGGGGUACGAUAUUUUCUUGGUAUCUUGCCCAACUGAGAUACCAUAUUAUGCACAUUGUAUGCGCACAGCAACCUACGGUCCUUCUACCUACAAUGCAAUUACAAUAAUACCCUAAUAUUGAAUCUCGUCCUAUUCGACAGCUGUCAACUAAAAUGUAAACAAAAUAAGUUUUGCGACUUAUAUGGCGGGAUUGUAUACGACCCCGCAAUAACCAUGAUAUAUUUGAAGCCGACAGCUGUCGAAGAAGGCUGUUGUCUACCUCCCUGCACACUUCUAUGAUGAACCCAUCAUUUCCCCGCAUAUGUUCACCAAAAUAGGACCGUGCCUGCUUUAAUUGAUAAGUACCCAAGAAUACAAGAAUUAAUUCAUCAUAUGACAACUGGGGAAAUUCAUUUAGAUUGUCAUUUUGUACAGUUAUUGAUUCAAAAUCAGCCCUACGUCUAUUAUAUUGAUUGUUAACAAUAAACUCACCUAAUAACAAAAUAUAUUAUAUCUAUUCAUAUUUAUAUUAAUUUGAUUAAGGCGCGGUGAAUAGACAACUUUUAUGUAUUUGAGGGGGUGAAGCAGGUGAAGUGGGUCUCGUGUACUGAGGGGUGCACCGUGCAAAUGUCAUUGAUACGCGUAUUCCAUUUUAUUUAGGAGCGUAAUUUCGCUACUAUAGUUUCAUGGACGAUUGGCCCAAUGCGUUGCUGUCUAGAUUCGCGUUCCGUGAUCCUUAAGAUCGAAUCUCAUUACUCGUAUUAGUUUUUGUUUUUUUAUUUUUUCAAUAUUAUGUUGUAUACAUUUUUAUUUUAUUUUUAUUUAUUUUUUUUGGUUUUUUUUAUGACUAAAACCGAAAUCGAACAAUAAUUUACACAAACUUACUACUACUAUAGUUUUUGCGCUAGUGACAGUUGCCUGUAUGACGUUGACGUCUCUCAGUACCACAUGAUUAGGGAUGGACAUUAGAAAGGUCUUUUUUUAUCGCUAUCGAUACUCGCAGCAUACAUUGAAUUCUCUUUAAUUUUGUUAUUAAAGUGUGUUGUUUAGUUGUGCAGUGUAUCUGCGUGUAUAUAAUGUCAAUAUACAGAUACAGAUUCAGAUGAUCCUGAAUCAGAUAAUAAUAUGAGUUUGGACGAAUAAUAAGUAAAUAAUUUUGGUUUUAAGCAAGGAGCGUGUGUGACGUGUCGAAGAUCUGACACGUUUGGCUCUCCAGUGCCCCGAACAGUCGCUACAGUCGAAGACAAGUUUUUUACAUUCAAUAUUCUGUACUUAGGGCCUAUGCACACCACGUCUUAUAAACGGCCGGCGACGCGCGUUUUGGAAACGCGCGUCGCCGGACGUUUUUCUCCUACAGUGCAGUUUGUUGUCGUUUGUAUCGAUACAAACGCGCGGCACCAGUGCGUGCGUAUCGAUAACACGCGCGUUUGCAUCGCUUCCGCAUCGCUACACACGCGUGUCUGUAUCGCUACACACGCGUGUCUGUAUCGCUACACACGCGCGUCAGGUGUGCAAAGGUCUACAGGCCGCGUCUAACUAUCGCGUCUGUAGCGAUACAGACGCGAUACGCACGCAAGUAUCGCGUCAGUAUCGCUAAAAACGCGCGUCGACGGCGCGUUUAAAAAACGUGGUGCAAACAUAGGCACUUAGAAGCAGUAGGCACUAAUCUUUUAAAAACUAAAAAACGGACAGGAGGAUAUAUAAAUAAAACACCAAUUAUGUAUAAAACAUGUAUUAUUCAUCUUCAAUAAUUAGGAGAAUGUCAUCUAAGAAUUGUGUAGGGGCGGGGUACGUAUAUUUUCUUGGUAUCUUUCCCAACUGAGAUACCAUAUUAUACAGGCUGAGAUGCACGCCACUGACGAAUAACUGAUAAAAUCGCCUCAUCUUCCAAGACUCUUCUGCCAAUAGAGUUACUGCGACCAGUCGCAAUCGUACAAUCUACACAGCGAUCCAUGUCGUCAAUAUCCGAUUGAUAGGCUUAAACAGUUGUCCAAAAUAGAGAGUAAGGUAAUUUAGAGAUGCAAGAUCCGUCAAAAGUCCUUUAUAAAGCCGAGGUCGUGGGGUUUAACAAUAAAACAUGGAAAAUACGUGCGCAUUUAGAACGAAACACAACAAACAAGUGUCAUCUGUCAAUCGAUGACUGACUGAUAUCAGACAGAAGUGUUGUAAGAAGUUUAAAUCACAGAGUACUUAUACGCAUAAAUGAUUAAAUAAUCAUUAAUGUUUUAUAACUUAAUUUAAGUUUUCUCGCUUCCCAGAUAGAAACAAGGUACCAUAUUUUGUGAUUUCCUUUAGAAAAAUAUGACGGUUUUUUUAAUAUACAUUUCAACUAGUUAACUGCUGGGCCCAAAAGUCCCCUUCUCCUUUCAAGAAUGGUACGGAACGUUACUGAAUGUGUCAUCUGCACCAUGCUACGCGGUAAUAGUAUAUGAAAAAAUUAAUUGUAUUUACAUAACUUUAAAUCGAUUUCGUACAAAAAAAUAUACUGACAACCCAACUUAGAAAAAGCUAAUUACAAAAUAAAAUAUUACAAACAGCAAAAAGAUAUGUUAGUGAAUGAUUAUUUUCUGAGCGGCGAUUGACACAAACUGACAUAGGUCCACCAAGCAGCGCGCCUCAGCGGUCACUGCCGGUCCGCGUAGGAAUGAAAGAGAAACGAAUAGAUGUCAUGAUCGGACGACGUUUUGUUCGAUUCGUUCUGAGAUAUUUAUCAUGAAUUAUAUUAAUUCUUACAAAUAUCUCAUUUCAAUCGACAAAUAAAUAAGGCAGAUCCCUUUAUUAUUUUAAAUUACGUCACUGUUAUUAAUUUUAUUAAGAUAUGUUCAUAAAUAAUAUAGUUACAAUGGCUAGAAUUUCAAUUUAAAUGGUUAGUUUAUGAUUUUUUUUUAUCGAGAAAAUUUAUAGAAAUCGUGUUUUGAAGAAGGUGGUCCAUUCAUAAAAAUGAUCAAGAUUAACAUAUAUUUUUUUUGUUGCUCUAACAUGUAAACAUUGGGCAAAAAAAUCUGUUGAAUCAAUCCUAUUUUGACUAUGCACAGCGCCUUAA